GGAUUUCAGUUCUUUCAUCUGUAAAAGGGCACUGGUGGGGAGUGGCAAUGACACUAGAUGGUUCACUUCAGCUAAAAACAGACAUAAAACAUGAUUUUAAUAUUGGUUGGAAAUGACUCAGUGCAGUAACAGAGGCAGAAAAAAAGCCCCCAAGGGAGUUUGCAGCACAGAACCAUCGCUUCCAGCUGUGAAUGUGCAGAGGGGAAGAGGACGUUGCAGAAAGGAGAAACUGGUGGUCUCUUUACCUAAAUCACCCAGACCCUGGUGCCAGGCAAAUGUUCACUCUUUCAGCCGUUUUUGGAAAGGCCAACAGAAAGGAGAGGUACCUAGACAGUCUGUACAAUGGUGGCCCCCAAUGAACUAUGCCUCCUUGUAAUCAUGUCCUAGUGUAAUCCCCUCUGACACUGACUUUGGGAUUGACCAUGUGACUUGCUUUCGCCAUGGAACACAAACAGCACAAGCACAAACUUGAUAAGCACUUGGACACUGGGUCUUUGGAACGCCGCCUCUGGAAGCCAGCAUCCAUGCUGUAAGGAAGCUCAAGCUAAACUACCAGAUGAUGAGAGGACAUGGAGAGAAAACCCAGAGGACAGGAGUCCUCAUGGACAUUCAAUCUUAGCUGUUCCCCAGCCAAUGCAGCCACAUGGGUGACCUCGGCAACCCUGCACUGUGCAAAAGAACUACCCAGCUGAACCAGUCAACCCAUAGGAUUGCAAAACAUGAUAACCAGUUGUUGAUUUAAGCCACUAAGUGUGGGAGUAGUUUUUUGGGCAGCAAAAGAUAACUUAGUAUUGUGGGAAGCUAAAAUUUCAGUUUCAGGGAGGGUUUUGAGAGUUGAUGAGUCCAUUUGGGGGAAGGAUGUAGUCUUAAGCUUACUUCCCCAGAAGCAAAAGGGGAAUGAGAUAAACAGACCUUUGGCUGGACUCCAAGAGUCUUUCAACCAAAGAAAGUUUACUGAAGAAAAAAAGAGAAACUUGGCCGAGAUCUGAAGUGUGAUGAGAAUUUGGAACACGGAAGACAAGCCAGGAGGCCCUUCUGAAAGUAGGAAGCCACAGAAGCAAACGGUGCCAAGGAGGACGAUCCAGGGCGGGCCUGGCCGCAAGAGGGCACCUUGCAGAAAGCACCGCAGUUGGCAGUAAGCAGGCAUUUUCCAGAAGAAUCCCGAAGGCAAAUACUCUGUUCUGCUCUCAGUUAACCUGUGCUACUGUCAGACCACAUACACUGUAGAGUUCAGAGGUAGCUGCUAUGGGAGUGAAUCUUCUUGCUGCUGCCAAAGGGACUCCUGCAGGCCAGCAGCAGGGACGGACUCACCUCCCUGUGCCCUCUCCCAGCAGAUGACCUCAGCCCUCACAGUUGAAGAAGUUGGUAAGAAACUGACAAUUUGGUGUAGGAAAAUUUAAAAAACUGUCAGCAAGUUCACUGAAUAACAUUUGGAGGACUUCAUUAUGAAAAAGGGAUCAGGCCAUUCAUUCAUUCCUUAAGCAUUUAUGGCGUGCCCACCAGGUGCCCAAAGUGUGCUCCAAAGAGGCACAGGUGAGGCCACAGGAUCUGUCCUCAGAUCCGGAUUUCACAGCCCAGUGGAGGAAGUGAUGUCUAACAAGGCCUGCAGGCAUGCGGAGGGAGUGCCCGCUGGAACCCAGGGCCAGGACAGGGCCUGUGCAGAGGAGUCCACCUUCAGCAAGACGGACCACCAAUACUCUGCGACUUAGAGAAGGAGACUGAGGAAUAAAUGCCCAGACCGUACUCCGCUCCUGCCCUCCUGGUUUCCUGCCAGAGUCUCCCCUUGUCUGAAGCCAACCUGAAGACACCCCUUGAGGACCCCUUCACUGUACUGGGACCAUGGGGGGCUGAGCCUCUGGGAUCAGUCACCUCCCUAACCUCCUGCAUGAGGAACAACUUGACGAACACACAUUUCAACCUGUAACAGGGUGGACAAGCAGAACCCUUCUUCAGAAGCACAUUUAUGAAGUUCCCGCAGUAACUGGCUCAGAGAGAAAUGCUGCUGUAACAGCUGAGAGAAAACUGAUAACCCUGAAAAUAAAGUGUCCAUGGAAAUCUCAUAUAUUGCCUAUUGUUUAAAAACAAUGUCUCACAUAAAAGAGGUGAUGGAUUAGUUUCUUUCAUUAUGCUGCCUCAAG
rnacentral:lncRNA from 10 species